GAUGAACGCUAGCUACAGGCUUAACACAUGCAAGUCGAGGGGAAACGAUAGAGAAAGCUUGCUUUUUCUAGGCGUCGACCGGCGCACGGGUGAGUAACGCGUAUCCAACCUGCCCAUCACUUGGGGAUAACCUUGCGAAAGUAAGACUAAUACCCAAUGACGUCUCUAGAAGACAUCUGAAAGAGAUUAAAGAUUUAUCGGUGAUGGAUGGGGAUGCGUCUGAUUAGCUUGUUGGCGGGGUAACGGCCCACCAAGGCGACGAUCAGUAGGGGUUCUGAGAGGAAGGUCCCCCACAUUGGAACUGAGACACGGUCCAAACUCCUACGGGAGGCAGCAGUGAGGAAUAUUGGUCAAUGGACGAGAGUCUGAACCAGCCAAGUAGCGUGCAGGAUGACGGCCCUAUGGGUUGUAAACUGCUUUUGUACGAGGUAACGCAGAUACGUGUAUCUGUCUGAAAGUNUCGUACGAAUAAGGAUCGGCUAACUCCGUGCCAGCAGCC
rnacentral:rRNA from 1 species